ensembl:miRNA
GACUGGGAUGUCACUGAGUACGGUGUUUGUGAGUUGACUGACAUCGUAUCAGAGAUUCCAGACACA